GGCCUUGUAGCUCAGCUGAUAGAGCGCUUGUCGCGCUUUGCAUGGUGUUUAUGUCGCUGGUUCGAAUCCAGUCGAGGCUC